AUAUUUCCAUCGAACUGUAAAUAACCGAAUGCAUGGCCAGUGCUCGGUCAGUGACAUUUCGGCAAAUGAUUUGGCCAAAGGUCAAUAUUCGGCUUUUAGCGAAUAACGAAUGUGUGGAUGCGUUCCAUAAACAUAAAUAUUUGUUUCAGCUGGAAAGAUAUGCAAAUCGUAGAAGGAUUUGUAUUUUACUGUCAUAUAUUGUGUUCUUGUGUACUCUAAUCGUGUGAUUUUAUAUUGACUUUUACCUCGUUUUCGAGCGUCAUUAUCGUCGAGGUUUUCAUUAAUUUCCACGCUUAUUUUUGUUGUUUUGCUUUUAAUAUAAAGAUGAUGUUUCUGAACACUGGAAAAUUAUAAGUAGAUGUUGGACUUAUUUGUUAUCCUACUUUUUUCCGGUUGUCGUGCAGGAAAAGUAGUGUUUACCCCGAGAUGGUGAAAUGAAAUUACAUUGUCUUUGCUUGCAGAAAGGAAAGAGGAAUGGAACGGUUUUUCACUUGCAUAAUGGACAUUUAUUUCCUUGACGAUGACAAUAACAAAAUCGAGGAAGUAUUAAUGUCCAUAUCGAGAGCCGAAGUGGGUUUUAGAAGCAACAAUUUCUUUUUCUUCGAGAAGCAAGCGGUUUUAAGUCCGGAAGUAUUAAUGUCCAUAGCGACAGCCGAAGUGGGAUUUAGAAGCAACAAUUUCAUUUUCUUCGACAAGCAAACGG
rnacentral:misc_RNA from 1 species